GUGAUUGUAGCUCAGUUGGUUAGAGCGCUGGUUUGUGGCACCAGAGGUCGCCGGUUCGAGUCCGGUCUUUCACCCGA
rnacentral:tRNA from 1 species